UCCUACGGGUGGCAGCAGUGGGGAAUAUUGGACAAUGGGCGCAAGCCUGAUCCAGCCAUGCCGCGUGAGUGAUGAAGGCCUUAGGGUUGUAAAGCUCUUUCACCGGUGAAGAUAAUGACGGUAACCGGAGAAGAAGCCCCGGCUAACUUCGUGCCAGCAGCCGCGGUAAUACGAAGGGGGCUAGCGUUGUUCGGAAUUACUGGGCGUAAAGCGCACGUAGGCGGAUAUUUAAGUCAGGGGUGAAAUCCCGGGGCUCAACCCCGGAACUGCCUUUGAUACUGGGUAUCUCGAGUAUGGAAGAGGUGAGUGGAAUUCCGAGUGUAGAGGUGAAAUUCGUAGAUAUUCGGAGGAACACCAGUGGCGAAGGCGGCUCACUGGUCCAUUACUGACGCUGAGGUGCGAAAGCGUGGGGAGCAAACAGGAUUAGAUACCCCAGUAGUCC
rnacentral:rRNA from 1 species